UUUCCGUUUAAAUGGGCAAAAAAACGGAUUACAAACGGUUAGUAAACGGAUGCCGUAAAGCGUUUUCACGCUUCGUUAAAACGUUAAAACGGUUCGAUGAAAAAAUUUAACGCUUUCAAGAAAGCGUUUUUACGCUUUGGUGAAAGCGUUUGCACGGAUACGAAUAACCGUUUAAACGCACAGAAAAAUGAACCGUUUUUUUGGAUGGGCCUAUUCAUCCGUAUAAACGGUUUGACGAAUUUAUAUACCCAAUUUCACGGACGAAACCAGACGAUUUGGGGAAUCCUUUGAUCGCAGACCAUGAUACUGGUGUUUAAAUCAAACAACGGUAAAAUAUGUCAACUGUCUGUUGCAUGGGCAUGUUUGAUAUACCGGGAGGGGGGAAAUGAUUAACAGGAAAUUGCAUUCCGGAUAUUAAAUUGUAAUCAUGCAUUUGGCAUGUAUGGUCAUUGCACAUUUGCGCUUUGAAGGCUGUUGCCAGCUAUAUAAAUCGGCGCACGGGAUCGGCGAAGUGAACAAAUAUGAAAUGGCGCCAAUCAAGUUCAUAAGCACGCGGGUAAAGAUCUUUACCAAUAAUUUCGCGAAGUCCUAUCCCAAAUAUUUGCUGGAUAUUCAAAUCUAUGGAUACGUCGAGGUGUUUUAACACGUGCAUAUAAAGACUAUAUGACAAAAGAAAGUUGCUGUUUGGUCAAGAUCACUUUGGCUCAGUCGAACAUCGUAAAAUCGAACAUCGUUUGCCAGAGGUUCAAAGAGGUUUGAGUACUUUAAUUGGGUGGUCACAAAACUGAGAUAACAUAAAUAGGUGCAUCUGCACUCAAACACCAGAAAUUUUUCUUAACCAAAAAUUGCAUGCAAAUUCCUAAGUAAUUUGUGUGUAGAUGCAACCUUAUUAAUUCCUAAGCUGAGACAGGCAGGACAGGCAAAUAAGAUUUUUCCAGACACGAGAGUCAGUAGAUACAUUUUAUGCAUCAACACAUAAUGUUUCUGGAGAAGUCUUGCUUGCCGGGUAAUCGUAGGCAGGGGGCACAAAUUGUGUCACAAUUAGAUGUCUCGAAGAUGAUGUGGAUUGAUUUUUUGUUAUAAUGGUGAGUAUAAACUCCCCUGUCCGUGCGUUUGGGAUUGUCGCGUCUAUAUGGGCGACUGCACUGCUAUAUGCUUUGCAGAAAAAAUUGUGCGCAUUUUUGACAGUUUCGAUCCGCUGUUUCUAUAAGGGCAGUAUAUGUAAUUGCUAUAUGUUUUGGCUAAAAAAUUGUGCACCUUUGCGCCGGGAUGGAGUAUUAAGUUGCUUUUCAGGGCGGAAAUCUUGACGUUUGGAUUACAGAACGCAGGCCUUCGAUCCCAUAUUCAACUAACAAAAACUUUUUUUCAUGCAGUGUAGCGCAGAUAGCGUAUAAUAUUAUUCAGAUAACAUGCUAGCUAUAUUCUACUGUUAAAGUUUUGGCAGAUGCUCUAAAAUAUGGAAGGAGAUAAAGUAUUUCAUUAUGAAAUAUUUAGAGAUAUUUUGUGACCACCAAGAAUUCUUAGUUAAGUAAGAUUUGACAUAGAGCUCAUAUUUUUCCUACAGAGGUCAAAUCUUUUCAAUAACAUACAUAAAUAUUGCGUCAAUUUUAAGUACGGAUUAGAAUAAUCUGAUUAUACAGCAUAAGGCUAUUAUGACUGUGUAGUCGUGUGCUCUCAAAAUUAAAGCAUAUAUAACUAGUCUAAAAAGCGAUCGAUAUGGCAGAAAAACGGCGAGUUUAUAUAUAUCAUACCGAUCGUGAUUUUUUACCAACCCAUUUUCAAACUUCGACACGCACUGGCGAAGAUUGUUUAAAUGCACUUUGUUGAAAAUAUUGUGAAAAUGUGUAAUAUAGCGUAUAUAAAAGUCAGUGUCUGAUAUAAUAUAACAGGAAACUCGCACACGAUCCUAUAACGCAUUAAUUAGUUGUUUUUGCCAAAAUGGAUCAUGAAUGUGCGUAUUUAUUAUAUCUAUAUAAGUAUUUGCAUAACAAAUACCAGAUAUCUCUCGUUAUAAUUAGUUGAAUUAUUUUUGCAUCUCAGAUAUGUUGCUUAGUAUGUGUAUAGAAUUUAAUUGCUGUAAUAAAUUUUAAACUAUAUGUCUUCUCACACGCACUAUAGAAAUAGGUACAUUUAUAAUUGCGAAAAAGCAUUUUGGGGCCUGUUGACCCAGGUGAUGGGUUUCUGGCAGUGCAAGUUGGCAAAUCAUCAAGGGCGGCUGUGUCUUCGC